CUGCCCCCUAGAGGCGCUGCAGGUGUGGCUGCCUUGUCACACCUGCCUCAGUAGGUGGGGAGAGAGAAAAGGCUAUACCUAUGCUCCAUGUUCUGACCUGUGAACAUUUGAAUAAUUAGUAGCCUGAUAUU